CAGACCUGGAACUGCUGUUGCCUUGCAGAACGUGAACUCUGGAUGGUGAAUAGUUACCUAACAUGAAAUACUUGGCAGAAGCCUCAAAAGGUUCUUCUGAAACACAACACAUCAUGUGGUAACUCUGCAUCUUAAAUUUUGUGAAAACAAUGCCAAGAGGAAGUGAGCCUCUAAGUGAAAAUGGGGAAACCACUGGGAAGGACUGAGAGGAGGAAAAGCUGGUUGAAUUCAAAGAUGAUGGGGCAAGUUAGAGGCUGGAGGAGAAGCUGUGGCCAAUUGCAGCAACA